CUAACUUCUUAUACAUGGUGACGCUAUAUGCUGUCGCUUGUGCUCAGCAAUCCAUCACUCUUUCUUUUGCAGAAUUGCAGGUCAAGCUUCGUUCAGAUGGCGGUUGCCGGGGCAGUGGCGAUGUCCGGCGGUAUUCUCCUCCUCCUCCUCCUCCUCCUCCUCCUCCUAGCUGCCGCCUGCGUCGAAGCCGGCGAGCUGCCGCCGAUUAGCCGGAGAAGCUUCCCCAAGGGGUUCAUCUUCGGGACGUCCUCCGCGUCCUAUCAGUGCGAGGGUGGAGCAGCAGAGGGGGGCAGAGGACCAAGCAUCUGGGACACCUUCACAUAUCAGCAUCCAGAUAAAAUCGCUGACAAAAGCAACGGGGAUGUGGCUGACAACACCUACCAUCUCUACAAGGAAGAUGUGCACAUGAUGAAGGAGAUGGGAAUGGAUGCAUACAGGUUUUCCAUCUCAUGGUCAAGAAUUCUUCCAAAUGGAAGUCUGAAUGGUGGAGUCAACAUAGAAGGCAUCAACUACUACAACAAUUUGAUCAAUGAGCUAUUAUUGAAAGGGGUCCAAUCAUUUGUUACCCUUUUCCAUUAUGACACACCUCAGGCACUGGAAGAUAAAUACAACGGAUUUCUUAGCCCUAAUAUCAUAAAUGACUAUAAGGACUAUGCUGAAAUCUGCUUCAAAGAGUUUGGUGACCGAGUGAAACAUUGGAUCACCUUCAAUGAGCCUUGGAUCUUCUGCUCUAAGGCCUAUGCAUCUGGCACCUAUGCCCCGGGCCGGUGUUCACCCUGGGAGAUGGGAAAAUGCAGCGUUGGAGAUUCAGGAAGGGAGCCUUACACUGCAUGCCAUCACCAACUACUUGCCCACGCAGAAACUGUUCGGUUGUACAGAGAGAAAUAUCAGUUCACUGAAGAAGUUGUCAGGCAGUCGCAGUUCAUCCAUGAUAAUGAUUUACAUCGAAGAUCCGCAAAGGCCUUACAAAAGGGGAAGAUUGGAAUAAUUGUGAACUCACAGUGGUAUGUUCCCUUCUCCCCAUCCAAAACCAACAAGGAUGCAGCAAGACGUGUUCUAGAUUUCGUGCUUGGAUGGCUUAUGGAUCCUCUCAUUAGAGGGGACUACCCCCUAAACAUGAGAGAAUUGGUUGGAAAUCGCUUGCCAAAGUUCACCAAAGAGCAAUCUGAAAUGGUCAAGGGUGCAUUUGAUUUCAUUGGACUUAAUUACUACUCUUCAAGCUAUGCUGAGAAUGUUCUUCCAUCGUAUGGUCUUAAGAACAGCUACAAUACUGAUUUCCACGCUAGGAUUACCGUCGAAACGGUACUCUCAUUGGUCCUCAGGCUGCUUCAUCUUGGCUUCAUAUAUACCCUCAAGGGCUCCGUGAAUUGUUGCUUUAUAUCAAGGAAAACUACGGCAAUCCUACCAUCUUUAUUACUGAAAAUGGUGUUGAUGAAGUCAAUAACAAGACCAUGCCACUCAAGGAGGCCCUGAAUGAUAAUACGAGGAUAGAAUAUUAUCACAAGCACCUUCUCGCCCUGCGAAAUGCUAUGAGGGAUGGAGCAAACGUGAAGGGGUACUUUGCAUGGUCUCUGCUUGACAACUUUGAGUGGGCGGAUGGCUACACACUCCGGUUUGGGCUAAACUUUGUGGAUUACGAUGAUGGGAUGAAGAGACACCCCAAGAAUUCAGCCCAUUGGUUCAAGAAGUUCCUCCGAGAAAUGAAACAGGGAUGAAAAGAGUCGCACGCAUUGCCUUCUUUUUUUUCAUUGAACAUCGAAAUUGAGUGUCACAGAUGAAAUGAGUUUGAGAUGUGCUUCUUUGUUUAGGCUAUACAAGAGUAAACUUCACAAAACUACACGUUUUGUUGUCCAAGUUACAAUAAAACCACACAAAUUAUUAGAAGCAACAGAUGACAAGUGAUUCACAUUUUCUCUAAGAAAAAGAAAAAGGGAAUUACGCC